GAUCCUGGCUCAGGAUGAACGCUGACAGAAUGCUUAACACAUGCAAGUCUACUUGAUCCUUCGGGUGAUGGUGGCGGACGGGUGAGUAACGCGUAAAGAACUUGCCCUGCAGUCUGGGACAACAUUUGGAAACGAAUGCUAAUACCGGAUAUUAUGUGGUAGUUCGCAUAGUAAAUUCAUAUAGAAAGCUAUAUGCGCUGCGAGGGAGGAGUCUUUGCCGUCUAUUAG
rnacentral:rRNA from 1 species